CGGGCGGUGUACUCCCAGAUCGCCUCCCCGUCGACGAGGGAGUCCUCGCCGAAGUAGGCGCCGUCCGCGACGGUCCGCAGGACCGCGUCCUCGCCGUAGGGGCCGGGGCCGACCUGGUCGAUGCGUCCAUGGGCGAGCAGGAACACCUGGUCGGAGGCGCUCCCGAAGGAGGUCAGCUCCUGGCCGGCCUCGAAGUCGACCUGCCGGCACCGCUGGGCGAGCUCGGAGAGCACGUCCAGGUCCUCGUAGCUGCGCAGCAGCGGGAGCUCGCCGAGCUCGGCCGGGAUGACCUGGACCUGGGUCCCGGUCUUGAUGAACUCCACGCGUCCGUCGCCGACCGAGUAGCUCAGCCGCCGGUUCACCCGGUAGGUGCCGCCCUGGACGGACACCCACGGGAGCAUCUUCAGGAGCCACCGCGAGGUGAUCUCCUGCAUCUGCGGCGCGGACUUGGUCGUGGUUGCCAAGUUCCGCGCGGCCGAUGUCGCAAGACUCCGCUGCGGUGUCUGG
rfam:Streptomyces sp. NRRL S-444 contig332.1, whole genome shotgun sequence.